CUUUCUCCCCGCCGCAUUCCCGGUGUCGACUUACUAGCUGCAAGCCUCUGCCUGCCUUCCUGCGCGCCGUUCCCCGCUAGUCGCUGCUGCUGGCGCGCACUCGCCGGGUUUUUCCUCCCACGGCCUCGAGAUGGUGGUGAAUGUGGCACGGAGGAGCCGGGCCUUCCAACCCGGUGGGCCCGAGCUCCGAAAGGCCCCCUCGGCAGUGAGAGGGGCGGGAGCCCGCGGGGGCCGCGCCCUUCUCUCGCUUCGGACUGCGCAACGCUGCGCUCUGGGCUGACAGGUGAGUGUUGCAGGCAGGCGGCCGGGUUUACGGAAGGGGUGGGGGUUUGGGAACCGGUCUCCUGGGGGAUGCGGGGAUGAAUCCCUGGGCCUGAAGUGUCUUAAUUCAGGGGGAGGCCGCAUGCUGGUGUCAGGAUGGCCUCCAGUUGAAUCUGUGACAUUUACCAGCUAGGUGAUUUUGGGACUGGUGACUACGCGCGAGACCUCUGGAGGUCGCCCUGGUAGACACGGUUUUCAGAAGGACGGGUUUUAGGCAUUCAGACCCUUGCGUGCAUCCCAGCUUGUUGCUUUCAGCCUCGCUAAGUGACUAAGCGACCUUCAGGAAGUAACUUAAUCGGUCUAAACCUCUUACCUGUAAUAGGCGGAUAAAACGGUCCCAUCAAGACUGAGAAAAAGCACACCAGCUAUUGGCACAGCGUGGGCAGUGGGGCCUACAGGAUGACUGACUUAGUCUACAGAGAUCCCGGCGUACUUAAGCAGAUGAAGACUCUUAAGAUGACAGAAGGUGAUUUUUCUGGUGAUCGAGGACUUCCGGGGUAAUGACAGUGAUGAAAUGCAGGGGACCUGGUAGGUUUCUUUUGGAGACUAACUGGGGGCUGCCUGGUGGGACAGAACAGCAUGUUUCCAAGGGCUGUGGCUGGUCAUAGCCAUGGGAUCUCCAACUGCAUGCAAGAGCAACCUGGAAAGACUUUGACAGCGCAGGUCAGUACAAUACCUGCAAGCUGCCACUCAGCUUUCCUAUAAUGUUUCAGGACCAGGGCUGGAAGCCUUCCAUGUGUCAACUUCAAUGUAGAUGGGUUUUUUUUUUUUUUUUUUUUUGAGACGGAGUCUUGCUCUGUCACCCAGGCUGCUGGAGUGCAGUGGCAUGAUCUCGGCUCAUGGCAACCUCUGCCUCCUGGGUUCAAGCGACUCUCCUACCUCAUCCUCCCGAGUAGCUGGGAUUACAGGUGCCCACCAUCACACCCAGCUAAUUUUCUUGUAUUUUUAGUAGAGAUGGUUUUCACCAUGUUGGCUAGAUGGGUCUCGAACUUCUGACCUCGGGUGAUCCGCCCGACUCGGCCUCCCCUUCCAAAGUGCUGGGAUUACAGGCAUGAGCCACCGCUCCUGGCCAGUUUAGUUUUCACGCUAAGCUUUUUGUUCUGCAGGUUGCCCCCAAGUUUCCUGGCAGUGUGUGAUACUGAGGAGGUGAGCUUGUUUCUGGAGCUGUGCUUUAAGAUUCAUGUUACAUGUAAAGCUGUCCUCAUUUGUGACUAUGGACCUAUGGAGUUGGGUAAGUUAGUGACUACCCAAAGCUUUGUCACAACUUGGUGUGUAGCUGCAGGUAGUGCUCAACUAUCUGGGAUCCUGUCCUAAGUAGUCAACCUAAUAGAACUAUAAGGUUACUUAGGUCUGUGUCAAAGUUACAGCUUUUUUUUUUUUUUUUUUUGAGACAGGGUCUUUCUGUCACCCAGGCUGGAGUGCAGUGGCACAAUCUUGGCUAAUUGCCUCCCAGGUUCAAGUGAUUCUCCUGCCUCAGCCUCCUGAGUAGCUGGGACUAUAAGCACGCACCACUAUGUCUGGCUAAUUUUUGUAUUUUUAGUAGAGACAGGGUUUCACCACGUUGCCCAGGGCAGUCUUGAACUCCUGACCCCAAGUGAUCUGCCUGCCUUGGCCUACCAAAGUGCUAGGAUUACAGGCAUGAACCACUGUGCCGGGCCAGAAAGUCUUAGCAUCUUAGUAACAUUUACAUUUGGCCUCCCUCGUGUGCCCUUAGCUAUUCAUUACCAGAGGGCAAAGAUGGUUAGAACAUGAUUUACCCACCCUAAAAUGCAUUGAAGGCAUCAGAGGGCACCGUGGGCCACAAGGCCUGGUAGCCACAAAUGUUCAGUGGUGGCUGGAGCUCAUGAUGCAUUCUUUGGUGGGACGUCUCUCAGCAUUAGGGAGAGUUGAGAGUGGGGUAGAAACAAGGGGUUCCAUGUAGCACACACUGUAUUUAGAAUGACUGGUCCAGGAUGAAACCUAAUUUGAGUGGACAUCCAUGGAUGAGAAAUGCGGAUAUGGGACUGAGACCAGCUCCUAGGAAAAUGUCUGGGUGGGGGAAAUCUGGGAAUUAGUAACACAAUGGCUUACACUUCCUUUGCAGGACAAUCUCUAUGGGAAGCAGAAGGCAAGGACCCCGGUCAUUUUAGGUAGAAACAACAGCAUGCUAAUGCAAAAAAUUAUGCAGUGUGCUACUGAACUUCAGAGGUGAUCAAUAAAAGAAGAAUAAAAAGACUAAUAAAAGUAUAUUUGUGUUUGUAUUUUUUUGUAGAGACCGAACUGGUCUCUUCCCGAGCUCAAGCAAUCCAUCUCCCAAAGUGAGCCACCAUGCCCAGCCCUUAAAGAGAUCUUUGGAGAUUUUUUAUGAUGUAGGAUGAAUGCUUUGCCUCAAGCAGUAAGUCCCAACACAUGACAAGGUUGGACAGUUUCCCCAUUUACUUGGGAAACACGGAAGUGAGCAGUAUAAAGUUCACACGGAGGGUCUGCUUUGGCUUUGAGCUAUCUUCCUUAAUCCUUUCUGAGCUGCCUUCUCCCGUGUCAAAAUAUUGAUCCUAAAGUGAUCCAGGCCUUGUAUAUGCAGAUGCUGCAACUCAUGAAAAUAGAUGAAACCCAUUAUUAGAGCAAGUACUAAUUCUUAGGCCAACUGGCCUGUUCCAUCACACCCCACCACAUUCUACCUUCUGGGGCGUGCUCCUACCACACCUGCUAGAGUGCCUUUUCUACCUAGCUGCCAGACUUGCACCAAGUUAGGACUCAAAUAUGGCAGGUCCUACAAAUACUCCAGAGAACCCUGAUUUACAUACCUACCUGUCAACUGAGAAACCUUGAACUCAGGCUUUAGUGUGUGAAUUAUCCCAAGCUGCUCAUCCCAGUUUUGGAUAAUCCCAAACUGUCCUAUGUGGAUAACUACCUGGACAAAGGAUUCCUGUGAAGGAAACCAAUUUGAACCUUGUUUAAAAGUUGUUCCCUUGGUCUUCAAACUCAAAUGGUCAAAUGAAUGCAGCAGUGUUGUAGAAACAUUCAUGAUCUCCAAAAACAGUCAUUAUUAAAAUCUUACAAAUCAUAUUUCCAAAAAGGUUUCACAAUUUUUAAAAAGGAGUCUCUCAUCUCCCUCACAUCAUGCAACCUGGCUUGUCCUUUGGCCUGGCUACAUCAUGGCAGGGAUCUCUGAAGACACUGUGUCCAGGGGCUGCCAGUGACAGUCCAUCAGAGCGUCAUACAGCUCCUCACUCUGUUCCAUGAACUCCUUGUUGGCCUCAGUCACAUCCAGCUGUGGCAUGGGGUCUGGAAAGCAAGCAAGGAUGGGGUCAGGGAAGUCUAGGGACAGCUGCAAGGGACCUGGUUCAGUUCCCUUCUCCCAGAACUCUGUUCUAUGGUAAGGUCCCUAUCCUGCCAGUUUCUUUCAGGAAGUGAAAGCACUGCCUUGCAGGGUUCUGGGGAAGAUGAAAAUAGAAUAAUGUAUCUAGAGAAUGGGAAAAUGGCAGCUGUUAGCCUGCAUCUAUUAAAAGCUACACCUGUGUCUCUAGCCAUCAUGUAUCCUAGAUUUUCUGGUCUGGUCCUCACUUCAAAUUUGGGUUUAGAAGGUCUGAUCAAAGUUAUUAAGUCCAGAGCAUCAUCUCAAGAACUGACAAUAAGUGCAUAGUGGAAGAACUUCAGUCAAAUAUAGGAGCUGAAAGGCCAAGUCCUGUAUGUAUGUAUGUGUGUGUGUAUGUACUUUAGAGAAAGGGUCUUGCUCUGUCACACAGGCUAGAGUACAGUGGCACACUUACAGCUCACAGCAGCCUUGAACUCUUAGGUUAAAGUGAUCCUCCCGCCUUAGCCUCCCAAAGUACUGAGAUUACAGGCAUGAGUCCCUGUCCCUGGUGGUAAAAUACUAUUAAAAAUUUUUUCUGCACAGUGGCUCAUGCCCAUAAUCCCAGCACUUCAGCAGGUCGAGGCGGGCAGAUCACCAGAAGUCGGGAGUUCAAGACCAGCCUGACCAACAUGGAGAAAUCCCAUCUCUACUAAAAAUACAAAAUGAGCCGGGCAUGGUGGCACAUGCCUAUAAUCCCAACUACUCGGGAGGCUGAGGCAGGAGAAUUGCUUGAACCCAGGAGGUGGAGGUUGCGGUGAGCCGAGAUGGCACCACUGCAUUCCAGCCUGGGCAACAAGAGCAAAACCCCGUCUCGGCCGGGCGCGGUGGCUCACGCCUGUAAUCCCAGCACUUUGGGAGGCCAAGGCAGGCAGAUCACAAGGUCAAGAGAUCGAGACCAUCCUGGCCAACAUGGUGAAACCCCGUCUCCACUAAAAAUAGAAAAAUUAGCUGGGCGUGGUGGCAGGCACCUGUAGUCCCAGCUACUCGGGAGGCUGAGGCAGGAGAAUCGCUUGAACCCGGGAGGCGGAGGUUGCAGUGAGCCGAGAUCACGCCAUUGCACUCCAGCCUGGGCAACAGAGCAAGAUGCCAUCUCAAAAAAAAAAAAAAAAUUAGCUGGGCAUGGUGACCUGUGUCUGUAGUGCCAGCUACUAGGGAGGCUGAGGCAGGAGGAUCACUUGAGCCUAGGAGGUCGAGGCUGCAGUGAGGCAUGUUCACAUCACUGAUCUCAAGUCUGGGCAACAAAGUGAGACUCUGUCUCAAAAAAAAAAAAAAACUGGGCACUGUGGCUCAUGCCUGUAAACCCAGCACUUUGGGAGGCCGAGGUGGGCAGAUCACAAGGUCAAGGGAUUGAGACCAUCCUGGGCAACAUGGUGAAACCCUGUCUCUACUCAAAUACAAAAAAUUAGCCGGGUAUGGCAGUGCACGCCUGUAGUCCCAGCUACUCGGGAGGCUGAGGCAGGAGAAUCACCUGAACCCGGGAGGCAGAGGUUGCAGUGAACAGAGAUGGCACCACUGCACUCCAGCCUGGCGACAGAGCAAAG
rnacentral:lncRNA from 1 species